GUACGGGGGGGGCAAGCGUUGUUUGGAAUUACUGGGCGUAAAGGGCUCGUAGGCGGCCAACUAAGUCAUACGUGAAAUCCCUCGGCUUAACCGGGGAACUGCGUCUGAUACUGGAUGGCUUGAGAUUGGGAGAGGGAUGCGGAAUUCCAGGUGUAGCGGUGAAAUGCGUAGAUAUCUGGAGGAACACCGGUGGCGAAGGCGGCAUCCUGGACCAACACUGACGCUGAGGCGCGAAAGCUAGGGGAGCAAACAGGG
rnacentral:rRNA from 1 species